rnacentral:lncRNA from 1 species
UUUUUCUUGCUAGUUGCAUUCAUCAUUGCAUAUUUUGCAUGGCAUCAUGUCAUCAUGCCAUCUUUUUCUUAAAUGUAACUAAAACUCACUUAAAUAAAUCGUGUGGAUCUUCGAUCCAUUUAAAUCAAGGGAAAUUCACAUGGUGAAAUUCUCUUUAUAACAUAUCUCCCAAUAUGUAUAGGGAGGUAAAAUAAAUAUUCCAUUCUUUAGGAAUCGACCAUAACACACUUGCAAAAUAAAUUCCAUGGUUCUUCUGCUUCAAGUUUCACCUCCAAACCUUGGUAAUAGUUCUUUCUCCAUUUAUCGAGGGUCCUCCAAAAUCCUCAACAUUUUUGCACACCCCUAUAGCCUAGACUCCAUUCAAACUCCUUUGGCUCUAGUCAAAUAAGUUUGAAUUUAAAUUCUCCUAACUUGUUGGAAGCAUUGUUGUUGGGUUGGAAAUUUUCCAUGAAGCCUGACAAAAAUGUCCCGCCAUAUUAUUCCUGUACGUGGCCUUUUCUCUUAAUUUUUUGACCUCUCCCUAUUUUCUAAAAAGAGAAAUUCAAAGGGAGAAGAGAGAACUAGGCCAGCCCAUUUGCCUCUAAGCCCAUUAGCCAGGCAUGCCCGAUCCCCACCUAACCCUAACUCGACUGAACCCUCUCAUGGUCGAUCCCCUCCUCGUUCCUGCGCCGCCAUCUCUCUCUCUCUCUCUCUCUCUCUUGCUCGCUCCCUCGUCCUCCUGCAGCGCUGCCACACACACACACGCAUCGCACCAGGGAGAGAGAAGCGCCGCUCCUCAUCCCCGAUCCCCUCUGCCUCCUUCCUCCUCCAUCGCGCCAAGCCCCUCUUCUCCUUCCCGAGGCCGCCGCCGGCGCCCCAAGCUCUCCGCCUCCAUGCUGGCGGAAGCGCCCCGCCACUGCUCGAGUCCGAGGGCUCCGCCUCUGUCUCCGGCCGAUGUCAGCAAGCAGUCCCGCCGGAGCACCUCUUCUCCCGUGCGCCAUCCUUGACCAAGUCGAGCAGCUCCAGCAGACCCCGCGCACCCCUACACCCCAAGUUCGUCGCCACCUCGCCGGAGUACCUACCUCCUCGACCUUCAGGCCACCCCGUCACGCCCUUCUUAUCCUUGUUGAGGCCGCCGGCGGCACCCCAAGCGCCCAGCGCCCGCCUCUCCCAUGGCCUUCCUCCUCUGCUCGCGAGCCCUGCUUCGCUGCUGCGCCUCCCUGGCCUCGCUGCCUCCGCGGGGUACCAGUAGCACAUCCACCUUGCCGUCGACCUCAUGUUGCCGUGGAACCAAUGCCACCGCACUUUACAACUACGUCGAGAGGACCCGGAUUCGCCAAGACCCUAUGUUGGACCUUGUGGACGACUACAGCACCCGAGACCAGGAACGUCAAGUCCGUCUUCAAACGCCUCUGCACACCCUGCUUCUCCGUGGGCUUUUGUUCGUCGUUGCUGUCACCCGAGGCCCCUUGUGUUGCUUUGUUGGGACCGUCAAGAUUGGCUACGAGACGCCAAGAACCGUACCCGGUCCUUUGCCAAGUACCACAACGACGCGUCAAGUACCUCUACCGUCUUCUAUGAAAACGCCAAGUACCCCUACGGGCGAAGACGUCAAGACCAUUUCGGGAUUCAUUAAGUACCACUACCGCUGACUCGAACACCUACGAAAACGUGUACCACUACCGUCGCCGAGAUUGUCAGAACCUCUACCGACGACCUCGGAGCGUGUACGAUGGCCAUUGUCGAAGACCCGUACCUCUACCGCUUCCCGAACAUGAAUGACUACCUCCACUACGAACGUCCCGAGAACGUCUACUUCCUCUACUUUGCACCGAACCCGAACCGUCCCGUUUGCACGCUUUGAAGGUAUAACCGCCAAGACGACCUUUCGAGAACGAAUGCUUUUGUUGUAUGAGAUGCACCCUAUGUUUGCGCCGUACCCUUUUGUUUUGUGCACGUCCCUCGUUUGCCAUGCCACCAACUCGUGCGACACCCGGUAACCGGGAUCACCACACCAUUUUUUGCACGCAUCCGCACACUUGCUUCUUUUGCACCGGCAUCUCAAUCGAGUUACCAGAACUGGAAUGCUGCCAUGGCACCAUUUCCGUUGUUGUUGCCAUGGCACCCUUUCGUUUCCACCACGAUGACAAAUGCUUCAUAACAUGAUCUUGUAACAUUUUCAUAAAAUUGCUUAAAACUUGCACAUGUCAUCCGCAUCAUGAUAAUAACAUUUAAAAUGUUUAAAAUUGUUGUUUGCAUUAAAUUGCUAAAUGCACAUGAGGAUUUAUCGGAAUUGUUGUUUGUUUUUUUCGGCCUCGUUCAAACUUGCCUAAAUAGUUAGUUUAUUUAUGCUUCACCCUCUUGCCAUGUUUAACAACAUUCAAUAUUGUUUGGUACAUAAACGAGAGAGAACUAAAUAAUUGAUGUGGUGUUCCGUCAAUAUGCAACUCAUUGCAUAUUGAGCUCCACUUAAUGUGUAGUGUUGUUUGUGCACUUUGCCAUGCCAUGCCACAUUAAACCGGACAUGUAUCAUACUUGUUUGUGCAUCAUGCCAUGAUUAUGCUUGUUGGUUUGCUAUGUUUCUUACUUCUUUCCGGGUUGCUUUUCUUGUAAGCUUCGGUUUCGUUCCGGAGUUGUGAGGAUUCGUUCGACUACGUACGUUUGUCUUCUUCAUGGACUCGUUCUUCUUCCUUGCAGGAUUUCAGGCAAGAUGACCAUACCCUCGAUAUCACUUCUAUAUUUGCUUGCUAGUUGUUCGCUCUAUCACUAUGCCGUGCUACCUACCACUUGUUGUAUCAUGCCUCCCAUAUUGUCAUGUCAAGCCUCUAACCCACCUUCCUAGCAAACCGUUGUUUGGCUAUGAUACCGCUUUUGCUCAGCCCCUCUUGUAGUGUUGCUAGUUGCAGGUGAAGUUGAAGUUUGUUCCAUGUUGGAACAUGGAUAUGUUGGGAUAUCACAUUAUCUCUUAUUUAAUUAAUGCAUUUAUAUACUUGGUAAAGGAUGGAAGGCUCGGCCUUUUGCCUGGUGUUUUGUUCCACUCUUGCCGCCCUAGUUUCCGUCAUACCGGUGUUAUGUUCCUUAAUUUUGCAUUCCUAACGUGGCUGGGUGUUAUGUGAACCCCUUGACAGUUCGCUUUCAAUAAAACUCCUCCAAUAAGGCCCAACCUUGGUUUUACAUUUGCCACCUAAGCCUUUUCCCUUGGGUUCUGCAGACUCAAGGUUCAUCUUUAUAUUAACCCCCGGGACAUUGCCUCUCUGAGUGUUGGUCCAAAACUACAGCACCUUGUGGGACCGUCCCUUGGCAACUUGGGUUAUGUUGGUACUUGUACGCUUAGCUUAUCCGGUGUGCCCUAAGAAUGAGAUAUGUGCAGCUCCUAUCGGGAUUUGUCGGCACAGUCGGGUGGUCUUGCUGGUCUUGUUUUACCAUUGUCGAAAUGUCUUAUAACCGAGAUUCCGAGACUGAUCAGGUCUUUUCAGGAGAAGGAAUAUCCUUCGCUAACCGUGAGAGCUUGUGAUGGGCUAAGUUGGGACACCCCUGCAGGGUAUAAACUUUCGAGAGUCGUGCCCGAAGUUAUGUGGCAGAUGGGAAUUUGUUAAUAUCCGGUUGUAGAGAACUUGACACUUAACUUAACUAAAAUGCAUUAAUCGCGUGUGUAGUCGUGAUGGUCUCUUUCAGACAGAGUCCGGGAAGUGAACACGUUUCUUGUGUUAUGCUUGAACGUAAGUAGUUUCAGGAUCACUUCUUGAUCACUUAUAGCUUUUCGAUCGUUGCGUUGCUUCUCUUCUCGCUCUUAUUUGCGUAUGUUAGCCACCAUAUUUGCUUAGCGCUUGCUGCAGCUCCACCUCAUUACCUUAUCCUACCCAUAAGCUUAAAUAGUCUUGAUCUCGCGGGUAUGAGAUUGCUGAGUCCUCGUGACUCACAGAUACUUCCAAACAGUUGCAGGCGCCGAUGAUACUAGUGCAGGUGACGCAACCGAGCUCAAGUGGGAGCUCGAUGAAGAUCUUGGUCAUUGUCAUGUGUCGUUUCCGGUUGAUCAGUAGUGGUGCCCAGUUGGGACGAUCGGGGAUCUAGCAUUUGGGGUUGUCUUCUUUUAUUUUGGGCUCCGUAGUCGUACCUUGAUUGUACUCUAGAUGAUGUAUGCUUAACAUGUUAUUUGUGUGAAGUGGCGAUUGUAAGCCAACUCUUUAUCCCUUUCUUAUUCAGUACAUGGGAUUGUGUGAAGAUUACCCCACUUGCGACUAAACCACCAUGCGGUUAUGCCUCUAAGUCGUGCCUUGACAUGUGGGAGAUAUAGCGGCAUCGUGGGUGUUACAAGUUGGUAAUCAGAGCCAUCCCCGACUUAGGAGCCCCCCUGCUUGAUCGAAUCACCAACGUUGUUGAGUCUAGAACAAAAUGUUUUGAGUCUUAGGAUUAUAUAUAUCGGAGAGUAGGAUGCUUUUUACACCUCAGUCCUCGUCGCUCUGGUGAGGCCUCCUGACGUAGAAGUUUUGACUUUCCUCUCCUCAAAUUUCAUUAAAAAAAUUAGGAUCACACGGGUAUCUUGGAAUCGUUCCGAUAGUCUUGUGACGAGAACAUUGUUCUUGGUGCCUUCUGACAUUUAGGGGUUGUGGCAGUGUCCCGGGGAGUUGUGCUCCGAGGUGUUGUUGUCACAAUUUUAUCGUUGUAGUUCUGGAAUACCUGAGUUCGCCGACAUCAAAAAUCUCUUUUAUGCAGUUGUUGGUGAGAUAACCUCGACGCCACCCAGUACAGGGGCGGGAGUUCAGGAGUAUUGCCAUAACUCGUAUAACGGAUGCUUUUCGAAGGUUGAGGUACAUGAUUUCCAAAGGUUUCUUGGUUAUGUGUUGAAGGAUGGAUACAGGUGGAUGUAGGGAUUGUUAGUUUGGGUGAGAUAUUAUGCUUCCCAUGUAUCCCCAACACCUGAUUGCAUAACCAGAAAGUUUCGGGAGUUUAUAGGUGGGAAUUCAAGUAGCUCCUAGAAUAUCUUUGUGACAGAUGCAUGAUAUGGGAUUGGGUAAAUCUCUAUCAUAUGUAUUUGUUCCGGCUUAUUCUACAAGCCAAAUCUUUGUUUUGUUUUGAGUUGUGGUAUUCGAGUUGCUUAAAUGUCAAAUGUGGGUUCCAUACCUUUUUUAAGUGAUGUUCUCAUAUUUCUAUGGGAGUACUAAUCCUUCUUGUUAUCGAGAUUGUCAUGUCAAUUCCUUUCCAACCGGCGUGCUUCUCUUCAAGUGGAUCCGAUCAUUCCAACAUUCGCAAGAUCAAUUCUAAGUCUUCUCAAUGGUGUAUGUUUCAUUCAUCCCAAGUUGCCUUUGUUUUCCCGCCCUCCCACCCUUUUUCUUCAAGGACUCAGAUUUCUUAUUCAAGUACCCUUUGAUUGAUGGUAAGUCUCUCCAUUCUUUUCCGUCAAUGUUCUUCUCCGGUGAUUCUCAGGAAGAUACUAACGGAGCUUCAAGUUUAUUAUUCUUCAUUCUUUUUUUCUUCUCCGGUGGAUUAAAUUCAAGCUUCGUCGAUCAUAUAUUUUCCUUGUUUCAAACGUUUUCUCAUGCCAGUGCACCUCUUAAUCAUCCACUUCUCGCUAUUCAAUUGUUCCGGAGUACUGAAGAUAUCUCAGAAGAUUCAAGUUUCCAUUCUCAAUUUGCUCAAGUUCUUUUGAGGAUGUUAUCUCAUUCAUGCCAUUUAAAUCAACCGGUGCAAUCUCCCUUUCAAGUAAUCAUUCGAAGGUGUUUCGUUUGAGUGGGCCCUAACCCACAGGUCUUUUCCCAGGAUCUUACCUGACUCUUCGAAUUUUUUUCCGAAGUUACUCUUAAAUUCUUAUCCAAGUUUGACGUAAGAAUGGAUUGUCAUCGGUCAUAUGUCUUUCUUCAAGAUCUUUCAAAUUAUUUUCAUCGUUGGCUCAACCUUUCCAUUCUUCAUUCAGGAGUGCCUCUAUAAUUCAUGGUGCUGUAUCUCGUUGUCUUUCUCAGAUUUUGAAGACCAAAGAAGUGUUUCCUCUAAAUUUUAUCCGUUCUCUCAAAGAUUCGUAGUUCAAGCUUGCUACCAUCCUCUCAUAAUUCUUUCGAUUGUGAGAAUUCUUUUCACCCAUCUGCGGCAAUUCAGGAGUAUUUUCAGUUUGAUUCUUCGGAGCCCAUCAUCUCAAAAUUAUUCAUUCUAGCUUUCAGCUCCCGUUCUCCAAAUCUUACCGGUGCAUCGUUCAAAUAUCCUCUUAUCAGUUCAUGAUCUCUUCGUUCUCAUGUAUAUAAAUCCUAUCAAGUAUCUUCAUUCAUUUUCCAAUUCUUCCUGAUGAAUUAUGCCUUUGCUUUGUUCUUUUUCAAUCCUUACGGUGGUUUGUUCAAGAUUACUCUUCCUAUGUUCUCACAUUAGUUCAUUCGUUCUUUCCAAUCCUACCAGCGGAUCGUUGAAGAUUUUUCUCAAGUUUGGCUAUAUCUUUUCAAUCUUUUCAAGAAGAAUAAGUUGUAUGCAAUCCGUUGUUUGUCAUCAAUUAAAUUGGUGAAGGAUGCGCAUAACGUAAUUCUUAUUAUUGUUUCAUCCAAGUGAUUAAUUCCUUAUUCCGGAGGUUCAUCAAAAUUCUUGGUUUCUAGUGUUUCAUAUUUUCUUUUCCGGAGCUCCAAGUUUUCACGGUUAUAACAUCGUGAAGCUCCAUCUAAAUCAUCACAAGGUUUCACCUGGUGCUCUGAACUUCUCUUUCUUUCUAUCAUCCUUUUAUUACCAGAGUUCUUCAUGGAGGCUCUAUAGGGUAAUUCGUCAAGGAUUCCUUUCAUUCUUUAAUUGUUCUUCAAGAUUUCUCUCAAAGUUAAGAUCCGCCAAGCUAUACUCAAAAUUAAACAGGGUGCUCAACUCAUGUUUUGUUUUGAGGAGUUCCAGCAUUCGAGCAUUCUUCAUCUUGCAUUCCGAAGUGCAAUGCUUUCUACCUUAUCCUUUGAGAUGGUGGUAUGUCAUUCUUGACAAUUUCCAUUCAUGUUUCGCGAUUCACAUGGGUCAAGAAUGAGGUAUUUUAAAUCCAUUAAUUUCUUCGUUGGUGUUAUCUUGGUAUAGAUUUCAGUUAAGGUCUUUCCUAAGGAAUGUUGAUAUUAUGGUGCUUAUCAACGAUCCCAGUUUUCUCCUAUCCUCUCGGCGAAAGAAGUUUUCAUCUCUUCGUUGAUCUCAACCAAGCAAUUGUUUUUCAUUAGUGGCAGAAUUUCACGUCAAGUUUUGAGAUGCUUCCUUAAGCCCACAACAAGUUUAUUCUUUUCAUUGUUCAUUUCCUAACAACUCCGUCCAAUCCUCUAUGGAAGAAUGCUUUCAAAUUCAUUUGAGGUAGAAGAUGUUGUUUUCUUCUUCGUUACUUUCAUUCCGGUCUAUCUUUCAUUCCGGAGGGAUUGUGAUGUUGCACUAUUCGACCCAUCAUCCCAUUUUUUUGUCAAAGAUCAUGUUCUUUCCUUUGCUUAUCCAUUCAACCGGAGUGCCGUGUCCUUCAUUCAAGUUCUCUCGUCUUAUCAAGUUUUGCCUCCCUUCUCAACCGGAGUGCUAUCUGAAAUAUUUCUUACCCCUUGUGCAAUUAUUUCAAUAGUUCCGGAGGUAGUGUGUUGUUGAUUUCGUCAAGUAUCAUCCAAUCUUACUAACUUCUUAUUCAAUUCCUUUGCUUUUCAGAUGGAGUGUUGUCCAAAUUAUAUCAUUCUUAUUCCUUCUCUAUCUUGUUUUAACCAGAGUAGUUUCAAUAUAUAGCGUGUCCUUCGACCUACAAGGUUCUCGCAAUGUUCCUUGUUCCUCUUUUAUAACGGAGUGUUUUAAACUUCGUGCAUCUUUGUUGGAUUCCUUCUUUCAAUUUGUUUAACCUCUCAAGGUUCGUUGGUUUCACUCGAUUGUCAAAGAAGCAACUUCUUUUACCUCUUCCUCUUCCGUUUCUCUCCAGUGCCAUCCUUAGAUCUCGGGUGGAGAUCUCUUGUAAGUGGAGGAGAGUUGUGACGCCCCAAGACUGGCACUCCAGAAGCCUUCCAUGUUUUCGUUGUUCGUCAUGUGAUUUGUUUUGCUUGUUGCAUUCAUCAUUGCAUAUUUUGCAUGGCAUCAUGUCAUCAUGCCUUCUUUUUAUUAAAGCUAACUAAAACUCACUUAAAUAAAUCGUGUGGAUCUUCGAUCCAUUUAAAUCAAGCGAAAUUCACAUGGUGAAAUUCUCUUUAUAACACAUCUCCCAAUAUGUAUAGGGAGGUAAAAUAAAUAUUCCAUUCUUUAGGAAUCGACCAUAACACACUUGCAAAAUAAAUUCCAUGGUUCUUCUGCUUCAAGUUUCAC